UUUAGUUACUCUCCCUCUUCUGCCGCCUGGUGACUCCUCUGGACCCCCAUAUUUGCAUCUUAGGGUUGUCACCCUCCUUUUCCCCCAGAAACUCCCGGAGUUCAGGAAGACAGGCCUCUGAAACCAAUCUCUAACCUCUUUGCCUCCAUCCCCUCAUCCCUUUGCCCUGUGCUCUCCUGUAAAUAAGGAGGUCAAGGAAGAAAGGUGUUCUGGGAAGGGAGAGAGGAAGGGGCAAAGAGCAAAGGGCUGUGGGAUCCUCCAACUGAUCUCGAUCUGCCUCUGUCCCCAUGUCUCUCACAUGCUUGGGUCUCUGUGUUAUGGUCUCAGUCUCUGUCUCCCCCCGCAUCUCUUUCUGUUUCUCUCCACCAUGUCACCCUGUCUCUUUCCAGCCCCAUCUGGGAGAGAGAGAGCCUGGGAGGGAGGAGGAAGACUGAGAUUUCUAGCUCUCACCCCCUUCGUCCUGAGUCAAAGAGCCAGAAAGACAGAGAGAGAUGCAGUGUGAGAGAGAGAGAAUGAGAGAGAGACAGAGAGAGAGAGAGAGGAGUAGGAAGUGGAGCUUCAGGCAGAGGGUGCGAAAGGGGGUCUGGGAGGAGGACAGAGACAGAGACGCAUAGAGAUAGAGCGAGUUAAGGAGGCAAGGAGGAGGAGUGGGGUGACUCGGGGACCGAGGCAGGGGAGCAGAGAGAGAGUGAGGUGAUGGGGAAGGAGGGGAUGAGGGGCUAGAGCAGAAAUGGGGGCUCCCCUCCCUCACGGACCCCCUGGCUUGCUCACCAGCUCCGCUGUCCCCCUGUGCGCGGUUGCCUGCUUCUGUCGGUCUGUGUCCCCCUCACAUCCGCCCCCGCCUCCGUCCCUCAGCCCCUCUAACCCGGCUCCCCCAGGGACCGCCUGCCGGCUCCUGCUCCUGCAGGCUGCCCAUUAGAGGCUGAAAUGUGAUCACGCCGGCCCGGCCUCGCUCCCCACCUGGUGUCCGGGACGGCCAGAAACCUGACCCUCCUUCCCUCGGCCCCCCCCCGCCCCCCCGGGCCCCCAGACUUGGACGGCGCCAAAAACGGCUGGAUUGCUCGAAGCCUUGGAGCCCCCAGCCCAGAUGGAGAGAAUGGCAGGAGGGAAGAGGAGGAAACAGAGGCAGAAAGGUAAAAUGAGACCGGCAGAAAGGGGACCAAGAAGAGACGGAGCUGUUGAGACAGUCAGAAAUCCCCGGGUUGUCGUGAUGGGGGGAGCAAACUCAGCUUCCAGUUAGCCACAGAGAGUGGCUUCUCCUCCCAGCCCCUUGCCAGGUCCUCAGGGGGAGCAGCCCCCAGCCUCCCCCAGAGACCAACCCCCUCCUCCCCCAUCUCCAUUCCCAUGCUGUCCCAGGCGAGCCAGCCAACUUAUUAGCCGUCUAGACACAGACCAAAUUAGAGCCCCCAGCAGGGAAGGAAAGCUGCAGGUACCACGCUGGAGGUUAACCCCUUGCCCCCCAUUUUCCCAGCCCCUCAUCCAGAUCCUCCGCUUCCCAAUCUAGCCACAGGUGAAGGUGGCCAGGGGCUCUCCAGCUCCUGGCCGUCGAGACUAGAGGAAAGGCUCUUAACUUUGGGGGGCACUAGGGACCCUUUGGGCAGUCUGUGAACCCCUUCUGAGAAUCACGGUAUUAAAUGAAUACAAUUUAAUUCCACAGGAUUAAAAAAGAACGGAAGUACAUGAAAUACAAUUGGGAAAAAAAAAAUGCUUCCCAGACUCCAGUGUCUCCAGUUUGUGACUUUGAAGGUUCUAGAAUUCGACAAGUGAACGUAUCAGGGUUCUCUGUCGCUAAGGAUCUAGUCUCUUUGGGUUCUAGACUUCUGGGAUUUGGGAAUUCUAAGGUUCUAGGAUCUUAGUAUCCCAAGAUCCACAAAUUUGGCAGCCUUAGUCUUAAGGAAAGAAGCCUUUCUCCGACAGUUGGACCCUCCUAGAAUCGGAAGAGCUUCUCCCCGGCAGUCCCCCCCUCCCAUAUCCAAAGCCGGAUUCGGCCAUAGGCAAAGGGGAUGGAAGAUGGAGCUGGGGGGACCUGAUUCCCAGGACUUGGCUGGCUCGCCUCUGCAGGGAAAUCAGCCCCCACCCAUGAGAGGCCGGAGGGCCUUAGAGCCAGAUCAAGAACAGACAAGGAUGGGAGAGGAAGGCGCUGUGGUUCUGGGUCUUAGUUUUCUGCUCUCCACCAUGAGGGAAAUGGACAAAAUGAUCUUUAAGGAUAUCAUGGGGUGAAGACCCAGGAAGCCUUCCUCUGCCAACUUGCUCUGAUUUAAGGCAAGUCACAUGACCUCCGGCUUCCUUUUCAUCAUCUACAUAAUGGGAAUAAUUGACCCCUGCCCCCUGUCCCACAAUCCCAGAAUGGUUAUUACUUAUGAAGAAAAUGUUUUGCAAAACUUGAAAGAGGGAGGAAUGAGAAUCAUUUUUGGACCCUAAAUAGUCCCACAGGCUGUAGAAAGAAGCAGGGAGGGCUUCCUGGGAAACUAGGGCCGCCCGAGCCAGCCUCAGAAGGACUGGAAGCAAAGGAGAAAGGGAGGAACUGAGGAGCAGGAGGACCAGGGGCUGCUCAUGGGUAAAGGAUCUGGGAUUCUCCUCCGUCUCUAUUGCAGAGCCCCUGGGAAUUCACACUGGGACAGACAAAGAUCUGGGGGUCUUGGAGACUCCUGCUCAUCUGUAAUUCCAGACUUUAAAGGAAAAGGGCUCCUAGAGCCAGAGGAGGAUCCCUGCCCCCUCUCUCUGCCUUAGUUUCCUGCAGAGUCCUUUCAAUGGACUGAGACUCACAAAGUGCCCAAAUGGAUUAAAGAGUGGGACCAGUCGGGCUCUUUAUCCCGGGGAAGGUUCACGUCCCUGGGUCUGACCCCUGGAAGCUCCUUAAAUCAAGGACUAUUUUUCCUCUUCUUGUUUCUCCAGCACUCGGCAGUGCCCGGCAUGUGUUUGUUCUUCGGUCAUUUCAGUUUCACUCGCUGUGACUCCAUCCCUUAUUCCAUCCCCUCAUUUUACAGAUGAGGAAAUCAAGUCCUGAGCUAAGAAGUAGCUUAGCUGAGGUCACACGGCCAGCCCUGCAAGGCUCAGGCUGGGACAUCGGCUGACUGAUCCCCAGUGCAACCUCCCCCAAGUUCUAGGCUGCCGAGAUAAAUAAAAGACCAAAACUUUAAGCAGGUCUUUUGAGGGACAACUUGGGGGGGGGGGUUAUGGGGAGCCAGAGAAACAGCAAGCCAAGGUGAAAACUCACAGCAGAAACAAGGCUUGGGGGUCAUGGGGAGCCAGAGAAACAGCUAGGGUGCCAGAGAUGUCCGGCGUCACACAGCACACAGUCAGUACUGCAGCGGCUCACACUGAUGCUCACAGUCCUUAGUCCCGUGUCACACAGACAGAGAGGCAGGCAUGCUCACAUCGCAGCGGCGCACACCGGCCCAAGAAACCCAGACACGCGCCAAUCCUCUCAGUGCAUGUGAGUUUAAUUCUGGAUGAUACAAAAGAACUUGAAAAAAAAAAAAAACAACCCUAAACUAAUGUGCUCCUUUUCUCCCUGUAUCCCUUCCCUCAACCUGGAGAAAUAUAGAGACCUUG